GCCCAGCUAGCUCAGUUGGAAGAGUAUGAGACUCUUAAUCUCAGGGUUAUGGGUUUCAGUCCCCCGUCGGGCA